rnacentral:rRNA from 1 species
CGUGUAGGCGGUUUGUUUAGUCUGAUGUGAAAGCCCCGGGCUCAACCUGGGAAGUGCAUUGGAUACUGGCAGACUUGAGUACGGGAGAGGGUAGUGGAAUUCCUAGUGUAGGAGUGAAAUCCGUAGAUAUUAGGAGGAACACCGGUGGCGAAGGCGGCUGCCUGGACCGAUACUGACGCUGAGACGCGAAAGCGUGGGGAGCAAACAGGAUUAGAUACCCUGGUAGUCCACGCCGUAAACGAUGAGAACUAGGUGUUGCGGGUAUUGACCCCUGCAGUGCCGUAGCUAACGCAUUAAGUUCUCCGCCUGGGAAGUACGGUCGCAAGACUAAA